CCUACGGGUGGCUGCAGUGGGGAAUAUUGCACAAUGGGGGGAACCCUGAUGCAGCGACGCCGCGUGAGUGAAGAAGUAUUUCGGUAUGUAAAGCUCUAUCAGCAGGGAAGAAAAUGACGGUACCUGACUAAGAAGCCCCGGCUAACUACGUGCCAGCAGCCGCGGUAAUACGUAGGGGGCAAGCGUUAUCCGGAUUUACUGGGUGUAAAGGGAGCGUAGACGGCAGCGCAAGUCUGAAGUGAAAGCCCGGGGCCCAACCCCGGGACUGCUUUGGAAACUGUGAAGCUGGAGUGCGGGAGGGGCAGGCGGAAUUCCUAGUGUAGCGGUGAAAUGCGUAGAUAUUAGGAGGAACACCGGUGGCGAAGGCGGCCUGCUGGACCGUAACUGACGUUGAGGCUCGAAAGCGUGGGGAGCAAACAGGAUUAGAUACCCGGGUAGUC
rnacentral:rRNA from 1 species